rnacentral:tRNA from 1 species
GCGGAUGUGGCGAAACUGGCAGACGCGCAUGAUUUAGGAUCAUGUGCCGCAAGGCUUGGGGGUUCAAGUCCCUUCAUCCGCACAA